CCUACGGGUGGCAGCAGUGGGGAAUAUUGGACAAUGGGCGAAAGCCUGAUCCAGCCAUGCCGCGUGUGUGAAGAAGGCCUUCGGGUUGUAAAGCACUUUCAGUGGGGAAGAAAGCCUUGGGGCUAAUACCCUCGAGGAAGGACAUCACCCACAGAAGAAGCACCGGCUAACUCCGUGCCAGCAGCCGCGGUAAUACGGAGGGUGCGAGCGUUAAUCGGAAUUACUGGGCGUAAAGCGCGCGUAGGCGGUCUGAUAAGCCGGUUGUGAAAGCCCCGGGCUCAACCUGGGAACGGCAUCCGGAACUGUCAGGCUAGAGUGCAGGAGAGGAAGGUAGAAUUCCCGGUGUAGCGGUGAAAUGCGUAGAGAUCGCGAAGAAUACCAGUUGCGAAGGCGGCCUACUGGACUGACACUGACGCUGAGGUGCGAAAGCGUGGGUAGCAAACAGGAUUAGAUACCCCAGUAGUC
rnacentral:rRNA from 1 species